rnacentral:rRNA from 1 species
UACAGAGGUCCCAAGCGUUGUUCGGAAUUACUGGGCGUAAAGGCUCGUAGGCGGCCAACUAAGUCAGACGUGAAAUCCCUCGGCUUAACCGGGGAACUGCGUCUGAUACUGGAUGGCUUGAGUUCGGGAGAGGGAUGUGGAAUUCCAGGUGUAGCGGUGAAAUGCGUAGAUAUCUGGAGGAACACCGGUGGCGAAGGCGGCAUCCUGGACCGACACUGACGCUGAUGAGCGAAAGCCAGGGGAGCAAACGGG